rnacentral:rRNA from 1 species
GACAGAGGCCCCAAGCGUUAGGCGGAAUCACUGGGCUUAAAGCGUGUGUAGGCGGAUCGUUAAGUGUCUUGUGAAAUCCCACGGCUCACCCGUGGAACUGCUGGGCAUACUGGCGAUCUUGGGCCAACUAGGGGCAGUCGGAACAAGCGGUGGAGCGGUGAAAUGCGUAGAUAUCGCUUGGAACGCCAAAGGUGAAAACAGGUUGCUGGGGUUGUGCCGACGCUGAGACACGAAAGCCAGGGGAGCAAACGGG